CUAUACAAAAGUUUGAUCAGUUCCCAUUUGUUUAUUUUUGUUUUUAUUUCUAUUGCCUUGGGAAACUGACCUUGGGAAACAUUGGUAUGAUUUACUUCAGAGAAUUAAACUAUUCCUUUUGAAAGGACAUAAUUUGAAUAGGUGCUUUUGUUGCUGUAGCAAAUGAAUAAAUAUGCAUGAUGUAUACCUUCAUUUAAAAGUGUUUUUUUUUUAAAUUAUUACUUGUGUUUUGAUUCCCUAGUGCUUUAAUGGUUUCUGCUAAUAGCAUUUCAGAAGUUGAGCAUAACAAAAUAUGAGAUGCCUACUUAUGAAGCGAAUAGCUCAUGAUAGAUGCUAAUUGGAUUUGGCACAAUCUUGUGAUUUCAUAUACCUUAAUAUUAAAGAGACAGUUUUCACAGGGCCCCAAUUCAAGCUGAUCUAGACCAUGAGUGGAGUUAAUGAGUUUUUAUUAAGUGCCAUAUGUGAAACCACUUCUGCUGUUAGUGCUGAGGAGAGUUCCAAGGAUGAAACAAGAUAUUUGCUGUUCAUAGCAAAUAAUCUGUGAAGGAUUCAAAGAUUUACAUAUGAGAAAAUUCAUAGCAGUUAUUAAUAAGAUUAAAAAAAUAUAAACAAACUAAAUGUCCAAUAAUAGAGGAGUGGUUAAAGAUUAUGUUACCUGCUUUUCAAAUUAUAUAUAAAAUAUAUAUCAUCAUGUACAAUCUGAUUUUCCACAAACAUUGAAUGACAUGGGGGAAAUUCUCACUAUAUACAUGAAAAAAAUCAGGAUAUAUUCAGUUUGAUUUUAUUGUGGAUUGUCUUCCACCAGUCCCCACCCAGAUAUUAGUGGCCCCCAAAAAGAAGCCACUUGGGUUUACCAAAUUUCUGGUAAAUUAAUGCAAAGAAACUGCAGCACUGGCAGGAAAGAGUAAAUACUGCAGGAAGAAAGUGUAUUCUCACAAAGGAAAAGCACCUUUGUCUUUACCCUCAUGGUCACCAUCUCAAGCCCCAGUGGCCAGCAUCAGAGGUCAAUGAGACCUUGGCUCACUGCUGCCCCUUGUGGAGCAAAUAGGAACUGCAAGAAGUACAGCCACUCCUUACAGUCUGUGAAAUUUGCAAGACAAUUGUGAGCCUGUUGUUUUUUCAUAGGGAUGAGUGGCAGGGUACUUCAGAGGAAAAGGAGCAAGUUGGGGAAACCACUGGGAGAAGGAAAAAUUGAGGGAGAAUUUGGGUGUGAGGUCCACAUGGCACAGCCCUGAAGACUUAGCCAGCGGUUUUCACUACCACAUAUUAGAGUCACCUGAGUGCCUAAAAAUCUAACCGACCCAACUAACCAUCAUUUCAAUGUUUGCAAUGGGUAAAGAUGCAUUUUCAGAAAUAGAUUCAGUUUAUCAAACUAAGUUCUCAUCAUACCUAUCUCCUACCUUUCUCCAAUCUUCAGUGACUCUCUUUUCCCCACUAUAUUAAAUAGGCUUUUCUGCCCAGCCCUCGGGGUCUUUUGUAAUUCUCCCUCCCUUAUUUCACUUUGACACAAGCUUUUGCUGAUGUAGGGGCUGGCCUCCUCAUUCCGCAUUUUAUCACCUGAGCUCACUUCUCCAUGGUUGACUCCCAUCUAUCACUGGACAAAGAAUCACCUAUUGAGAAAGAGGGAGCCCAAAGCAGGUAAGCCCACGGCCCAGUGAAGAAGAGGGAUGCAUCUUUGCAUCUAAAAGGAGGGUAGUCAUGGUAAAAGCAUCCCUGAAAUCUAAGCCAGCUGACGCUUUGAGCAAAGGUUUCCACACGAGCUGACCACGCCCAUCACCUGGAAAGCUUUUCUAAAAUACAGCCACCCGGGGACUUCCCCUUGUAACACAGCAGAAACUAAUGUGACUAGUAUCCAUGAGGAUGCCCGUUCGCUCCCUGGCCUCGCUCAGUGGGUUGGGCACUGCCGUGAGCUGUGGGAUAGGUUGCAGACGUGGCUCGGAUGGAUCCCAUGUGGUUGUGGCUGUGGCUGUGGCUGUGGCUGUGGCCAGCAGCUACAACCCCUAGCCUGGGAACUUUCAUAUGCCACCUGGUUCCACACCCAGAGAUGCUGAUUUGAAUACUUUGAGGUGGGCCCAGGCCUCCCAGUGUUUUCAGUUUUCCAGGUGAUUCUAAAGUGCAGCCAGGUUAAGAAUUACUCCUUCAGAGCAGGGCUUUGAUGUGCUCAUAAAUCACGGGAGUGGCGGGUGGGGAGGGGUUUUGUUGCAAUGAAGAUUCUGGUUCGGCCAGCCUGGGGCGGGGCUUGGCAUUUUGCCGCCUUUCAAGUUCCCAGGUGAUGCUGAUGCUGCUGGUCUGCGGACUACGCCGGAGAGAAAGGUCAGAAUUGUGACUGUGGAGGAGGACGCAAACAACAUAUUUUGGGUCCAAAAAGAUGCCCUUGGUGCAGAGUCAGCCCUGCUUGCUUCCUGCCACAUCAGCCAGAGAGUCUUCGGAAAUGGCAUUAGAUGCUUACCUGCAGCCCCUCUCCAGACCCAAUUGAGGCAAAGACGCAGACAUCAUAUCUGUCUGGGUACAAGAGGAAGAAUGUAAAUUGGCUCCUAACUGAAAAAUCCGCCUCCUGGAAGUGAGCUUCUCACCUGAGGAGGUAUUGAGAUGCAUCCAGAAAUUAAAGUGCAAACAAACGUGGAGAUAAAGUUUUGCUCCCCAUUCCUAGCCUGCUGCUCAGAGAUACAAGAACCCAAACGGAAGGAGCAGCUGCUCUGUUUUACUGCCCAGCUGGAGAAGAUACAGAGAAAUGGAAACCUAGAGAAAAAGGUGCAACAGCUCUCAGAGCUUCCUGAGAUGCACCUCCCAGGGUAUAAUCAUCAAAUUUGCUCAAAUAAAAAUUCCCAAUUCUUUUUUAGAUCUAAUGAUCAAUUUUUCAUCGCCAGGUAUCAUUAGCAUCCCCAACUUAUGAAUGAGGAAACAGAGGUGCAGGGAGAAUGAGGAACUUGCUCAAGAUGAGGGAGCUAGGAACUGGGGCUGGGGUUCGAAAUCCAGGCAGCAUGCUUGGAGCUCUGUACUGCACAGCCUCCCAGGGUCUGCAGACCCACCUCUGGGAGUUACCACCUCUGGGGCAGCCACUGGAACCAUGGGUCUCCACCCGAGCAGCUCCCAGGGAAGCUUUAAAUACCACUGAAGCCCAAGGCCCACCCGUGAGAUCCCAUGCAAGUGCUCUGGGUGUGGCCAGCUCCCCGGGGAUUUGAAAGCUACCCAGGUGGGGACCACUGUCUUAGAGGCUCCAAUGUCAGCAGCUAUCAACUAAACCACUUGAGCAAUGACCUGCGUGUGAUCUUGGUCAGGUUUCACUUUCCUGGUCUUCAGAUUUGAAACAAGGGGCUUUCCAUGCCAUUGGGCCAGAGAUCAAAGGCCACAGUUCUGAUGCGGUCUUUGGCCGCAUCCUUAGGGAACCACUGGGAAUUCUACAAUGCCUAAAAGCUUUUAUGUUUAGAAAAGAAAGGAGAAAAACGAGCCUUUAAAGAAACAAUCUAGUCUCAACGUGUUGCAAAACUUAAAGGGGUAUAGGAGAAAAGUGAUUCCACCUUAACUGACAUUAACAUUGCCAGGGAAGUUGGUUUCUUAGGAUUUCAACUUGUCACCAGGGAAUCAUCUGUUGGAAUAUAAGGACUGAAUCACUGCAGGAGCUUUUCCUACUUAGCCAAAACAAAAGGAAGGGAGAUGGGAAGCAUUUUGAGCCGUGGAAGGUGAGGCAGGCGUGCAGGAGACCUGGGUGGUGGACAGCCUGGUGGUGGUGGCCACUGGAAGCAGCCCCUGCCCCCCGUCUACCGCCCCCCCAACUGGCCAGCCAGGCUCUGCUGACAAGGCCACAGGUGAGCUAAGGUUCUGGGCUGCAUUUUAACCUUGGCAGCUUUGUGGGCAGAAACAAGCAAGCAGAGGGGUGUUUCAGGCUAGUGGUUAAGGUGCUUCUUUUUGCCUGCAGGGCUUUAAAUUUGGUGAUCUGGGUUGGGGUCACAAACUCAAACUCUUCCGGAGCCAGCAGGGAGUCUCCAGGCCACUGAAGGUGGGAGAUGCCUCUGAAAUCUCUUUCUUGUGGUCAUGAGGGAAUGGGGACCUGGUUUGGGUGAUGGUUCAAAUUUUCAAGAGAAGCUGGAAACACCGAUCUGAUGUGUUAUCUGCAUUCUCCAAUGUUAACUAUAAUUUUUAAAAUGGUUUUUAGUGUUGUUUAAAACUUUU